GAUGAAGAACCGUAGCGAAAUGCGAUAAGUAAUGCGAAUUGCAGAAUUCAGUGAAUCAUCGAAUCUUUGAACGCACAUUGCGCCCGCUAGUAUUCUGGCGGGCAUGCCUGUCUGAGCGUCAUUUCAACCCUCGCCCCCGGCUUUUGCUGGGAGCGGUGUUGGGGAUCGGCCGCCCGUCACUGGGAGGCCGGCCCCGAAAUAGAGUGGCGACCACGCCGUGUGCUCCUCUGCGUAGUAGUAAAUCACCUCGCAGGCGGACAGCGGUGCGGCCUGCCGUAAAACCCCCAACUCUUUCUGGUUGACCUCAGAUCAGGUAGGAAUACCCGCUGAACUUAAGCAUAUCAAUAAGCGGAGGA
rnacentral:misc_RNA from 1 species